rnacentral:misc_RNA from 1 species
GCCACAUGCAGGCUACCAGUUCCCUGGAAUGAUGAUGCCAGCCAGUGGAAAGACUGAACUGGAGAAAUAUUUUCAGGCGGGAGCAGCACAUUCAGCUGGAAACUUUGUGCCAGUAUCGACAUCCAGUGUUUAUCAAAUGGGACAGAAUUAUUCCGGCAAUGGUACAGUUCCUUCUAUGCCGAGUGGAGAUGCUGCUACCACACUUUCAUCAAGUUCUACACAAUCGACAAAAGAAGACGACUUUUCAUCUCUGACUCAAGGCAUGUUCUCGAA